rnacentral:rRNA from 1 species
AUUGAACGCUGGCGGCAUGCUUUACACAUGCAAGUCGAACGGUAACAGGGAGCUUGCUCCGCUGACGAGUGGCGAACGGGUGAGUAAUAUAUCGGAACGUACCUUAUCGUGGGGGAUAACGCAGCGAAAGCUGCGCUAAUACCGCAUACGCCCUGAGGGGGAAAGCGGGGGGACCGUAAGGCCUCGCGCGAUUAGAGCGGCCGAUAUCUGAUUAGCUUGUUGGUGGGGUAAAAGCCCACCAAGGCGACGAUCAGUAGCUGGUCUGAGAGGACGAUCAGCCACACUGGGACUGAGACACGGCCCAGACUCCUACGGGAGGCAGCAGUGGGGAAUAUUGGACAAUGGGCGAAAGCCUGAUCCAGCAAUGCCGCGU